AGCGAACGCUGGCGGCAGGCCUAACACAUGCAAGUCGAACGAACCUUUCGGGGUUAGUGGCGGACGGGUGAGUAACACGUGGGAACGUGCCUUUAGGUUCGGAAUAACUCAGGUAAACUUGUGCUAAUACCGAAUGUGCCCUUCGGGGGAAAGAUUUAUCGCCUUUAGAGCGGCCCGCGCCUGAUUAGCUAGUUGGUUGAGGUAAUGGCCCACCAAGGCGACGAUCAGUAGCUGGUAUGAGAGGAUGCUCAGCCACAUUGGGACUGAGACACGGCCCAAACUCCUACGGGAGGCAGCAGUGUGGAAUCUUGCGCAAUGGGCGAAAGCCUGACGCAGCCAAGCCGCGUGAAUGAUGAAAGUCUUAGGAUUGUAAAAGUCUUUCACCGGGGACGAUAAUGACGAUACCAGGAGAAGAAGCCCCGGCUAGCUUCGU
rnacentral:rRNA from 1 species